rnacentral:siRNA from 1 species
CUAAGUAGUGUUUCCUUGUUAGAA